rnacentral:rRNA from 1 species
CAAGUCGCACGGAGAAAAGAUAGUUUACUAGCUUUUCUGAGUGGCGCACGGGUGAGUAACACGUGAGCAACCUGCCUCUUAGUGGGGGAUAGCCCUGGGAAACCGGGAUUAAUACCGCAUAUCAUCGCAAGAUGAAAGCAGCAAUGCGCUAAGAGAGGGGCUCGCGGCCUAUUAGUUAGUUGGUGAGGUAACGGCUCACCAAGGCGAUGACGGGUAGCCGGUCUGAGAGGAUGUCCGGCCACACUGGAACUGAGACACGGUCCAGACACCUACGGGUGGCAGCAGUCGAGAAUCAUUCACAAUGGGGGAAACCCUGAUGGUGCGACGCCGCGUGGGGGAAGAAGGUCUUCGGAUUGUAAACCCCUGUCAUGUGGGAGCAAGCUAGCAAUAGUUGAUAGUACCACAAGAGGAAGAGACGGCUAACUCUGUGCCAGCAGCCGCGGUAAUACAGAGGUCUCAAGCGUUGUUCGGAAUCACUGGGCGUAAAGGGUACGUAGGCUGUACCAUAAGUCGGGCGUGAAAGGCAGGGGCUCAACCUCUGGAGUGCGCUUGAUACUGUGGUACUUGAGUCAU